rnacentral:rRNA from 1 species
UACGGAGGAGGCAAGCGUUAUCCGGAAUUAUUGGGCGUAAAGCGUCCGUAGGUGGUUGACCAAGUCUGCUGUCAAAGGGUGGGGCUUAACCUUAUAAAGGCAGUGGAAACUGGUGAGCUAGAGUGCGGUAGGGGUAAGGGGAAUUCCCAGUGUAGCGGUGAAAUGCGUAGAGAUUGGGAAGAACAUCGGUGGCGAAAGCGCCUUGCUGGGCCUGCACUGACACUGGGGGACGAAAGCUAGGGGAGCGAUAGGG